ACUAUUCUGGAUCGCGUCGGUGCAAGGAUCGGGAAAUAUACGAACCAGGCGGCUACGUGCGCUAUGAAAACUGCAGCUUUCCUUUUUGCGGUAUUUUUAUCGGUGACCUAUGUCCAGAGAUGUCACGCACGCCUUCCGGUGAUGUUCUGCGAUUCUGUGAAGUGUCACCAACUGUGCAUCGACAUCCAUGGCCCGUACGCCUUCGGCUACUGCAAGGCUGACAGGUGUGCAUGUCGCGACGAUAUAGUGAAGCGUAUUGCAUUAUUAUCCUGAUUAAUAAAGUCACCGCUGUAAACCAAAGCUUCAAGACGCCUUAU